GCAAUUAUCAGAGCAAAAAUCUUACGAUCUGCAUUUAGCAAUGAAAUUAGUCUGUAGUUUGAUCUGAGUCCUCCUUAGGUAAUAAGACAAUGUUAGCCUCCAUCCAUGAUAGCGAUGUCUUUGCCUCUUUCAACACAGCAUUAUAAAUCUCCCAUCAGCGUUGGAACAAGCAUAUCCUGGAAUUCUUUAUAUAUUUCCACUGGCAAUCUAUCUGGCCCUGCUGCUUUAUUAUUAUUUUGUCUUUGUAUGGCCUCAAUUAUCUCUGAUACUUUUAUUUCCUCAUAGAGCAUAUCUUUUACUUCCUCUGCUAUUUUUGGCAAAUCUGACUUUUCCAGAUACUGUAGUAUUCCUUCCUUUGUAUAGUCUCGGUUUUCAUCGUCACCUGCUUUGGAAUAUGGGGCAGUCCUCAAUGUAUGAUUGCUGACAUUUCUGUGGCAGAGGGAGACAUUAAAAUAAAUUUGACAAACGUUCCUGCCCUUGUCGUUAAGUGAAUCCCAGCUGUUGUUCAAUGAGUAACAUAGUUGUUAAGCGAAUCUGACUUUCCCUUUGACUGGAGCCCCAAUUUCUCUGGCUCGCUGAGACAUUUGUUAAAAAAACCUGCCUGUUUUACAACCUGUCUGGCUGUACGGUCAUGAAAUCGCUGCAGUGUUAAGUUAGUCAGACAGUCGUUAAGUGAAUCUGGCUUCCCCAUUGACCUGUUCGGCUUAAGGUCGGGAAAGGAAAUCGCAUAACCCUGUCAUAAAUACAAGUCAGUUGCCCAGCGUGUGCAUUUUGAUCUCACGAUCGUAAAAGUCGUAAAUCUAAAAAACAGUCCUAAGUCCCUUGCUUCAGGGCCGUUGCAACUUCGAACAUUUAGAAAAAGAUUGUAAGUCGAGGGCAACUUAGAAGGCGGACGUCAUCCCGCAAAUGAUCAGAAAAGAUUUUAGCGGGGCCAAAAAACCUGGGUCGGUUAUUGGUUGACACAGAACGUGGCCAACGGCAGACCCCAAACCUGCAGUCGAAUCACCCUUCCAUACGAUGGAUUUGAUUGUCUUCUAUCCCAUUCCCUUUUUUUCCAGGUGCUUUGUUGAAAGGAUUGGCCGGCUUCAGCCUCUGCGCCCCGCGUCCCUCACCCAACAAACUGGGUGCUUCGCUCCAGGUGCCGCCUCUGUGCCUCGAAAACCCUCCCAUAUUGCACGCCAAUCAUGUGCCUCCUCAUCCCGCAACAGCCAGCAGCAGCUCCGCAUUGCCUGCCAAGAAGAAAAAAGUGGAAACUUCCUAUGAUAUCAACAACAUCGUCAUUCCGAUGUCCAUGGCCGCCGCCACCCGGGUGGAAAAACUGCAAUAUAAAGAGAUUUUAACCCCCAGCUGGAGAACGGUGGACCCCAAAGGGUUGGUGAUCUUGGAGGAAGCGGAGUCGGAGGUAAGAGAGAUGGCGCCCCCAGGUGGCCCACUGUGGUUGUGGCGGGCUGUGUGUUUUUGUGUCUGUGUACACAUUGCAUGACUGCAGCCACAAUCGGGCAAGGGUUACAUGGGUGCUGUGAAUUCAGGAGUGG